rnacentral:rRNA from 1 species
CAAUAAGCUAAUUAAGGGUGUAUGGCGGAUGCCUAGGCUCUCAGAGGCGAUGAAGGACGUGAUAAGCUGCGAUAAGCUACGGGGAUUAGCACAUAUGAUUUAAUCCGUAGAUUUCCGAAUGGGGCAACCCAGUAUAUUGAAGAUAUAUUACCGAAAGGGGCAAACCCGGCGAACUGAAACAUCUAAGUAACCGGAGGAAGAGAAAAUAAUAAUGAUUUCGUUAGUAGUGGCGAGCGGACGCGAAAUAGCCCAAACCAAUCUUGUUACGGCAAGGUUGGGGUUGUAGGGCUGCAACAUUAGAUUAAAGUUGAAUUAGAACAACCUGGAAAGGUUGACCAGAGAGGGUGAUAGUCCCGUAUAAGUAAGCCUUUAUGAUAUAGCAGUACCCUGAGUAGGGCGGGGCACGUGGAACCCUGUCUGAAUCUGCCGGGACCAUCCGGUAAGGCUAAAUACUCCUGAGAGACCGAUAGUGAACUAGUACCGUGAGGGAAAGGUGAAAAGAACCCUAAAUAAGGGAGUGAAAUAGAUCCUGAAACCGUACACCUACAAGCGGUCGGAGCACAUUUACUGUGUGACGGCGUGCCUUUUGCAUAAUGAGCCUACGAGUUACUGUUUCUAGCAAGGUUAAUCGAUUAAGUCGAGGAGCCGUAGCGAAAGCGAGUCUGAAUAGGGCGUUUUAGUUAGUAGUAGUAGACGCGAAACCUGGUGAUCUACCCAUGGGCAGGUUGAAGCUGUAGUAACAUACAGUGGAGGACCGAACCCGUUGACGUUGAAAAGUCUUGGGAUGACCUGUGGGUAGGGGUGAAAGGCCAAUCAAACCAGGAAAUAGCUCGUACUCCCCGAAAUGCAUUUAGGUGCAGCGUUGUGGUAUAGUUAUAUAGAGGUAGAGCUACUGAUUGGAUGCGGGGGCUUCAUCGCCUACCAAUUCCUGACAAACUCCGAAUGCUAUAUAAUGUUUCACAGCAGUGAGGGCAUGGGUGCUAAGGUCCAUGUCCGAGAGGGAAAGAACCCAGACCAUCAGCUAAGGUCCCCAAAUAUAUGUUAAGUUGAAUAAACGAGGUUUGACUACCCAGACAGCUAGGAUGUUGGCUUGGAAGCAGCCAUUCAUUUAAAGAGUGCGUAACAGCUCACUAGUCGAGUGGUCGAGCAUGGAUAAUAAUCGGGCAUAAACAUAUUACCGAAGCUAUGGAUUUAUACUUUAUUGUAUAAGUGGUAGGGGAGCAUUCUAGUUGUGCUGAAGGUGUUCCGUAAGGGAUGCUGGAACGGCUAGAAAAGAAAAUGUAGGCAUAAGUAACGAUAAGGCGGGUGAGAAACCCGCCCUCCGAAAAACUAAGGUUUCCUCAGCGAUGCUAAUCAGCUGAGGGUUAGUCAGGGCCUAAGGCGAACCCGAAAGGGGUAGUCGAUGGACAACAGGUUAAUAUUCCUGUACUUGCACCCACUAAAAGUGACGGAUCUCCCAGAUUCUUGCGUACUGACGGAAUAGUACGCUGAGCCUAGACUUCGGUCGAAGCGAAAGAAAGUAAGAGGUUCCAAGAAAAGCGAGGGAUGCAACCUGUACCGUAAACCGACACAGGUAGUUGGGAUGAGUAUUCUAAGGAGCUCGAGUGAUUCAUGGCUAAGGAACUAGGCAAAAUCGACCCGUAACUUCGGGAGAAGGGUCGCCUCCAAUUUAUUGGAGGCCGCAGUGAAAAGGUCCAGGCGACUGUUUAUCAAAAACACAGGGCUCUGCUAAAACGAAAGUUGAUGUAUAGGGCCUGACACCUGCCCGGUGCUGGAAGGUUAAGUGGAGGGUUUAGCUUCGGCGAAGAUCUGAAAUGAAGCCCCAGUAAACGGCGGCCGUAACUAUAACGGUCCUAAGGUAGCGAAAUUCCUUGUCGGGUAAGUUCCGACCUGCACGAAUGGUGCAACGAUCUGGACACUGUCUCAGCCAUGAGCUCGGUGAAAUUGUAGUAUCGGUGAAGAUGCCGAUUACCCGCUACGGGACGAAAAGACCCCGUGAACCUUUACUAUAGCUUAGUAUUGGCUUUGGAUAAGUAAUGUGUAGGAUAGGUCGGAGACUUUGAUCCUGCGUCGCUAGGCGUAGGUUAGUCGUUGUUGAAAUACGACCCCUUGCUUAUCUAGAGUCUAACCCAGAGAUGGGGACAGUGCUUGGUGGGUAGUUUGACUGGGGUGGUCGCCUCCAAAAGAGUAACGGAGGCUUCUAAAGGUACCCUCAGUACGGUUGGUAAUCGUACGUAGAGUGCAAUGGCAUAAGGGUGCUUGACUGCGAGACCUACAAGUCGAUCAGGUUGGAAACAAGAGCAUAGUGAUCCGGUGGUUCCGCAUGGAAGGGCCAUCGCUCAAAGGAUAAAAGGUACUCCGGGGAUAACAGGCUGAUCUCCCCCAAGAGCUCACAUCGACGGGGGGGUUUGGCACCUCGAUGUCGGCUCGUCACAUCCUGGGGCUGGAGAAGGUCCCAAGGGUUGGGCUGUUCGCCCAUUAAAGUGGCACGCGAGCUGGGUUCAGAACGUCGUGAGACAGUUCGGUCUCUAUCUGUAGCGGGCGUUAGAAAAUUGCGUGGAUUUGACUCUAGUACGAGAGGACCGAGUUGAACUAACCUCUGGUGUAUCAGUUGUUCCGCCAGGAGCAUUGCUGAGUAGCUACGUUGGGAAGGGAUAAGCGCUGAAAGCAUAUAAGCGCGAAACCCACCACAAGAUGAGUUUUCUUUAAAGGGUGGUUGUAGACUACGACCUUGAUAGGCUACAGGUGUAAAGGCAGUAAUGUCAUAGCCGAGUAGUACUAAUAACCCAUAGGCUUAUGUAC